CCUACGGGAGGCAGCAGUGGGGAAUAUCGCACAAUGGGCGCAAGCCUGAUGCAGCCAUGCCGCGUGUGUGAAGAAGGCCUUCGGGUUGUAAAGCACUUUCAGCGGGGAGGAAGGCGGUGAGGUUAAUAACCUCAUCGAUUGACGUUACCCGCAGAAGAAGCACCGGCUAACUCCGUGCCAGCAGCCGCGGUAAUACGGAGGGUGCAAGCGUUAAUCGGAAUUACUGGGCGUAAAGCGCACGCAGGCGGUCUGUCAAGUCGGAUGUGAAAUCCCCGGGCUCAACCUGGGAACUGCAUUCGAAACUGGCAGGCUAGAGUCUUGUAGAGGGGGGUAGAAUUCCAGGUGUAGCGGUGAAAUGCGUAGAGAUCUGGAGGAAUACCGGUGGCGAAGGCGGCCCCCUGGACAAAGACUGACGCUCAGGUGCGAAAGCGUGGGGAGCAAACAGGAUUAGAUACCCCUGUAGUC
rnacentral:rRNA from 1 species